rnacentral:misc_RNA from 1 species
AACUUUUAACAAUGUAUCACGUGGCUCUCGCAUCGAUUAAGAACGCAGCGAAAUGCGAUACGUAAUGUGAAUUGCAGAAUUCAGUGAAUCAUCGAAUCUUUGAACGCACCUUGCGCCCUUUGGUAUUCCGAGGGGCACACCCGUUUGAGUGUCGUGACAUUCUCAAAACCUUCUCGGUUUCUCGACCGGGAAGGCUUUGGACUUUGGAGGCUUUUGCUGGCAUUCCUUUGUUGGAGCCAGCUCCUCUGAAAUGAAUUAGUGGGGUCUGCUUUGCCGAUCCUUGACGUGAUAAGAUGUUUUCUACGUCUUGGGUUUUAGCACUCCUGCUUCUAACCGUCUCACAGUAGACAAAUGGUCCACUCGACCCACAAACCUUGACCUCAAAUCGGGUGAGACUACCCGCUGAACUUAAGCAUAUCAAUAAGCGGAGGCU